UUUGUUUCUCCUCAGAUUGUUGCUACUGUUUUUAAUUAUUUUGGGGUUCCCAGGCAUGGAUCUGCAGAUCCCUCCACUCUACUAGUCACUGAACUGGGCUAAACCAGCCCAUAAACCAUUUGACAUUCUUGGUGGAGAAUGCGAGCAGAGCUUUUUAAUUUUUACAACAAAUCUCUCUCUGCUCUCAGAGAGCUUCGUUAGGAAUGUUAUAAUUUGGGGUCUGGCUAAUGCUUAUCAGGCCUUAUUCAAUACUAUCCCAGAGAGGGAGAGAGUUUCUGAAAUUGAGAGAGUCUCGAAGCUGAAAGAGAGUGUCUCAGAGCUCAUAGGAAGAAUCUCCAGGUCCAGAGGUUCUGUUUCUCCAGACUGAGAGUUUCCAGGAGAGUCUCUGAGCUGAAAGGGAGAGUCUCUGGGAGACAAUAGAAAAUGAGUGAGAAAGUCUCCAAGCCAAAAAGGAAAGUUUCCAGGAGAGACUCCAAGCUGAGAGGGGUAAUCUCCACGUCCAGAAAGAGUCUCCUAGUCAAGAAACAGUGUCUCCAAACAAAAACAGAGCAUCUCCGUGUUGAGAGAGUCUCCUAGUUAGGAGAGAGAAUCUCAAAAACUGGCAAGAGUGUCUCCAAGCUGAGAAAGAAAGUCUCCAAGCUGAAGGGGAAGAUCUCUGAUCUGAGAGAAAGUAUCUCCAAUCUCGACGAGACACCUUUGUAUCCAAAUGAGACUCCCUUCAAUCCAAACUCAACAGAUUUCAAACAGAACAAGACACCCUCCAAUCUAAAUUAAAUAGUUUCCAAAACAAACGAGUUCAACUUCAGUGUCAAUGAGUCAUCCUUCAAGCUGAACAAGACUUCCUCCUAACUGAAGGAAACAGACUCUGAGCUGGAAAGUGAGAGCAUUGAAACUGACCAACCUGAUCAACUGCAGGAGGCACCAGAAUCAAUGUUAGUUGUCCCUGUAAGAGGUCGGAAAAUGAAACGAAUCUCAACUAACUUAGAACAGAAGAAAGAGGAGGAGUAGAAAGUAGAGGAAGCAGACACUGUAAGAGAAGAAGAGGAAAGAGGUCCAGAGUAGCAGCUCCGAGAUCCAGGUGAACUGCCCCUGAAUCCAGGGGAGGGUCCCUCAAUAAGAUUACGGUCACCAACACCCAAGAGGGCAACAAGAAGUCCUGGAAGAGUAGGAGAUUCCAGUCACCAACUGAGAGGACAAAGGAGAACACAACUUGCACUCCUGAUCCCUUCAGCAAUCUGCCCAGAGCCCUGAAGUCCCUUUUGAUCACCUGAGAACUUCUUUUGCCUCCUCUUCAUUUCCAAUGUGGAAAACCAGUAAUGGAUAAUAAUUGGAGAGCUUCACCAGGCAGAGGGUGUGGAUGCAGACCUGUUGUCCUGGCAACACCCACUUCACUUCAGCUGCUCUUGAGAGCUGCCUGGCUGCUCUGUUAUCUAGGAGUUACCUGUAUGAAGGAACUGACUGAAACCCCCUGUAACUUGUGGUCAGUCACUGCGAUUCUGGCUGGGACAGCUCCGAAGCAGCGAACCUUGGCGAUCAAGGGCUUCUUCCAGGUUUGAUUUUGUACCCUUCUAAUAAAAUGUUACAGGUGAUGCCCUGUGUUAGUCUAUGCUAAUUUGCUUUUAGCUGUCCUGUUCUAAGACAAGCUUAUCCCUCUACCCAGAGAAGCUGUGGGUACUCCACGCUGGAGGCACUCAAGGGCAAGUUGGAUGGGGCCCUGGGCAGCCUGAGCUGGUGGGUGGCAGCCCUGCCCAUGGUGGGGUGUUGGAACUAGAUGACCUUUAAUGUCCCUUCCAACCCAUGCUAUUCUAUAAUUCUUUUAUUUUAGGAUGGUGAUGGGAAGGGCUAUGCUUGAGGUUUUUCCAAGUGCUAACAUUAAAGCUGAAAAGUGCAGCUAAUUAUCCAUAAACCAGAAUACAUUUAACCAGAUGAUUAAUCUGUCAAAAAGAAGAACAAAAUGUUCAGGAGAUGAGCACAGUUGUUUUUAACACUAUUAAACAAACUACCAUCAUCACAAGUAUUGGCAUCAGUUCUGUUUGUUGUGGGUUAUGUGACUGGUUGUGCUCUAUGUCCCCCCUCCGCCCACGUACCCAGCAUGCAGGCUAUGACUGCACGCAGGAGCGCCAGCUCCAGGCUUGUUUCAGAGAGCAGCCAGACACAGUUAAGGCUUGCCAUGGCACCACACUGCUGGAAGUUACUGCUGCUGUUGCUGCCCAUGUGAGUGCAAGGAUAGCCAAUAAACCAGGUGAUUACACAGUGGGUUUGGAUGCUGUCUGACUGGAAAAGCUCUGUCCAGUGGAGGAGCCCAGUUACUAUGUAGGUCCCUCUGAAAGUAAUGCCCCCUAUUUAUUUCCAUGUAAACUACAAAGAUA